UAACGGCGUCGAGCGUAGGACGGGUGAGUAAUGCCUAGGGAAAUUGCCUUGAUGUGUGCGCGCAUAACCAUUGUGUAAACGAUGGCUAAUACCGCAUAAUGCCUACGGGCCAAAGAGGGGGACCUUCGGGCCUCGUCGCUGUCAAGAUAUGCCUAGGUGGCGAUUAGCUAGUUGGUGAGGUAAUGGCUCACCAAGGCGACGAUCCCUAGCUGGUCUGAGAGGAUGAUCAGCCACACUGGAACUGAGACACGGUCCAGACUCCUACGGGAGGCAGCAGUGGGGAAUAUUGCACAAUGGGCGAAAGCCUGAUGCAGCCAUGCCGCGUGUGUGAAGAAGGCCUUCGGGUUGUAAAGCACUUUCAUGUUGUGAGGAAGGGGGUGUACGUUAAUAGCGGGCUCUCUUGACGUUAGCUGCAGUAAGAAGCACCGGCUAACUCCGUGCCAGCAGCCGCGGUAAUACGGAGGGUGCGAGCGUUAAUCGGAAUUACUGGGCGUAAAGCGCAUGCAGGUGGUUCAUUAAGUCAGAUAGUGAAAAGCCCGGGGCUCAACCUCGUGAACUGCAUUUGAAACUGGUGAACUAUGAGUACUGUAGAGGGGGGGGUAGAAUUUCAGGUGUAGCGGGUGAAAUGCGUAGAGAUCUGAAAGGAAUACCAGUGGGCGAAAGCGGCCCCCUGGAACAGAUACUGACACUCAGUAUGCGAAAGCGUGGGGGAGCAAACAGGGAUUAGAUACCCUG
rnacentral:rRNA from 1 species